rnacentral:rRNA from 1 species
CCUACGGGGGGCUGCAGUGAGGAAUAUUGGUCAAUGGGCUUACGCCUGAACCAGCCAAGUCGCGUGAGGGAAGACUGCCCUAUGGGUUGUAAACCUCUUUUGUCAGGGAGCAAUUGGCGCUACGUGUAGCGUUAUCGAGAGUACCUGAAGAAAAAGCAUCGGCUAACUCCGUGCCAGCAGCCGCGGUAAUACGGAGGAUGCGAGCGUUAUCCGGUUUUAUUGGGUUUAAGGGGUGCGUAGGUGGAAUGUCAAGUCAGCGGUAAAAUCGCGGGGCUCAACCUCGCUCCGCCGUUGAAACUGGCGGUCUUGAGUGUGCGAGAAGUAUGCGGAAUGCGUGGUGUAGCGGUGAAAUGCAUAGAUAUCACGCAGAACUCCGAUUGCGAAGGCAGCAUACCGGCGCCCAACUGACGCUGAAGCACGAAAGCGUGGGUAUCGAACAGGAUUAGAUACCCGUGUAGUC